rnacentral:rRNA from 1 species
UCCUACGGGAGGCAGCAGUGGGGAAUAUUGGACAAUGGGGGGAACCCUGAUCCAGCCAUGCCGCGUGUGUGAAGAAGGCCUUAUGGUUGUAAAGCACUUUAAGCGAGGAGGAGGCUUACCUAGUUAAUACCUAGGCUAAGUGGACGUUACUCGCAGAAUAAGCACCGGCUAACUCUGUGCCAGCAGCCGCGGUAAUACAGAGGGUGCGAGCGUUAAUCGGAUUUACUGGGCGUAAAGCGUGCGUAGGCGGUCAUUUAAGUCAAAUGUGAAAUCCCCGAGCUUAACUUGGGAAUUGCAUUCGAUACUGGAUGGCUAGAGUAUGGGAGAGGAUGGUAGAAUUCCAGGUGUAGCGGUGAAAUGCGUAGAGAUCUGGAGGAAUACCGAUGGCGAAGGCAGCCAUCUGGCCUAAUACUGACGCUGAGGUACGAAAGCAUGGGGAGCAAACAGGAUUAGAUACCCUGGUAGUCCAUGCCGUAAACGAUGUCUACUAGCCGUUGGGGCCUUUGAGGCUUUAGUGGCGCAGCUAACGCGAUAAGUAGACCGCCUGGGGGGUACGGUCGCAAGACUAAAACUCAAAUGAAUUGACGG